rnacentral:rRNA from 1 species
AGUGAACGCUGGCGGCGUGCCUAACACAUGCAAGUCGAACGAAGUGGCGCGCGGGUGGGUAAUAUAUAGUUAAUUUGCCCUACACAGAGUAACAAAAGAUGGAAACGGCUGCUUAUAACUCCUAGUGUAGGAUGAGACUAUAUCGUAUCAGUUAGUUGGUAAGUUAAUGGCUUACAAAGGCUAUGACGCGUAACUGGACUGAGAGGAUGAUCAGUCACAGUCGAACUGAGGCACGGUCCAAACUCCUACGGGAGGAAGGAGUAAGGAAUAUUGCGCAAUGGGGGAAACACUGACGCACCAACGCCGCGUGAAGUAUGACACUUUUCGGUGCGUAAACUCCUUUUAUCAGGAAAGCGGUACCUGAUGAAUAAGCACCGGCUAACUACGUGCCAGCAGCCGCGGUAAUUC